CAGAGUUGCCGAAGCAUGUUCCAGCGAUGGCUCAGACUACCGCCGUCCAUCCAGCGAUGCAAAAACCAAUGGUACCUGCACUGUCUGGUUAUGGAAUUUCUUCAGAAGAUAAGGCAACACUUGACGUGAAGACAACCAAGAAAUAGCGAUGUUUCUUAGAUUUACACAAUCAUUCUAAGGUUAAUAUACCGGCAUCUCUGUGAGAUCUUGAGCACGCAUAUCUAAAAUAAAUCUAGCCUACGAAGGUU